GACGAACGCUGGCGGCGUGCUUAAUACAUGCAAGUCGAACGGAAAGGCCCUGCUUUUGUGGGGUGCUCGAGUGGCGAACGGGUGAGUAACACGUGAGUAACCUGCCCUUGACUUUGGGAUAACUUCAGGAAACUGGGGCUAAUACCGGAUAGGAGCUCCUGCUGCAUGGUGGGGGUUGGAAAGUUUCGGCGGUUGGGGAUGGACUCGCGGCUUAUCAGCUUGUUGGUGGGGUAGUGGCUUACCAAGGCUUUGACGGGUAGCCGGCCUGAGAGGGUGACCGGCCACAUUGGGACUACGAUACGGCCCAGACUCCUACGGGAGGCAGCAGUGGGGAAUAUUGCACAAUGGGCGGAAGCCUGAUGCAGCAACGCCGCGUGCGGGAUGACGGCCUUCGGGUUGUAAACCGCUUUCGCAGGUGACGAAGCGUGAGUGACGGUAAUGGGUAAAGAAGCACCGGCUAACUACGUG
rnacentral:rRNA from 1 species